AGAGUUUGAUCAUGGCUCAGAAUCAACGCUGGCGGCGUGCCUAACACAUGCAAGUCGAGCGAGAAAGGGGCUUCGGCCCUGAGUAAAGCGGCGCACGGGUGAGUAACACGUGGGUAAUCUGCCCUAGAGUGGGGAAUAACACCGGGAAACCGGUGCUAAUACCGCAUACGAUCACGAUGUCUUCGGGUGUUGUGAUGAAAGGAGCAAUUCGCUCUUGGAGGAGCCCGCGGCUGAUUAGCUAGUUGGUGAGGUAAUGGCUCACCAAGGCAACGAUCAGUAGCCGGUCUGAGAGGACGGUCGGCCACACUGGAACUGAGACACGGUCCAGACUCCUACGGGAGGCAGCAGUGGGGAAUUUUUCGCAAUGGGGGCAACCCUGACGAAGCAACGCCGCGUGGAUGAUGAAGUCUCUUGGGACGUAAAAUCCUUUCGACGGGGACGAAACCGCAAGGUUGACGGUACCCGUAGAAGAAGCCCCGGCUAACUCCGUGCCAGCAGCCGCGGUAAUACGGGGGGGGCAAGCGUUGUUCGGAAUUACUGGGCGUAAAGGGCGCGUAGGCGGUUCGCUAAGUUGAAUGUGAAAACUCUGGGCUUAACCCAGAGCCUGCAUUCAAUACUGGCGGGCUAGAGUUCUGGAGGGGAUAGCGGAAUUCCUGGUGUAGCGGUGAAAUGCGUAGAUAUCAGGAGGAACACCGGUGGCGAAGGCGGCUAUCUGGACAGAGUCUGACGCUGAGGCGCGAAAGCUAGGGGAGCAAACAGGAUUAGAUACCCUGGUAGUCCUAGCCCUAAACGAUGGAUACUUGCUGUGACUGGGAUUGAAUCCAGUCGUGGCGAAGCUAACGCAUUAAGUAUCCCGCCUGGGGAGUACGGUCGCAAGGCUGAACUCAAAGGAAUUGACGGGGCCCGCACAAGCGGUGGAGUAUGUGGUUUAAUUCGACGCAACGCGAAGAACCUUACUU
rnacentral:rRNA from 1 species